ensembl:lncRNA
AAAAAGUUUGAGCUAAACGUUUUGGUUCUGACUCCACUCUGGCCUCACGUUGCUGCUUUUUUCUCUCAAAUGGACAAAAGCCAGUGUCAGUUUCUGUUUUUCAUAAACUUUAAGAGAACUGGUCAAAUCUCAAAUCCCACUGAGGGCUUCCCAAAACUGUGCAACGGCGCGGAUGAGUUCGAUGGCGCGGAUGAGUUCGAUGGCGUGGAUGAGUUCGAUGGCGCGGAUGAGUUCGACGUGAUGACGUAACGACGAUCCAGAGGGAAAAGACGUUUUUGAAAAUCCCACGUGACAAUUUUAUGAUAAAACUCAGAUAAAUCUUCACAGAGACACUGAGGACAAACUCUGCUCAAACGAACGCGCCGAUAACGAAGCUGCGACGCUAACGGACAAAUGCUAACGGCCAAAUGCUAACGAGCACCGCCGCGUCUGGACGGGGUGAAUGAAAACGCGACUAAACCGGGACUAAACCAGAACUAAACCAGAGACCUAAACCAGGACUGAACCAGAACUAAACCAGGACUAAACCAGGACUAAACCAGAACUAAACCAGGACUAAACCAGGACUAAACCAGAACUAAACCAGGACUAAACCAGGACUAAACCAGGUCUAAACCAGGACUAAACCAGGACUAAACCAGGACUAAACCAGAACUAAACCAGGACUAAACCAGGACUAAACCAGGUCUAAACCAGGACUAAACCAGGACUAAACCAGAACUAAACCAGGACUAAACCAGGACUAAACCAGAGACCUAAACCAGGACUGAACCAGAACUAAACCAGGACUAAACCAGAACUAAACCAGGACUAAACCAGGACUAAACCAGGUCUAAACCAGAGACCUAAACCAGGACUGAACCAGACCUAAACCAGGACUAAGCCAGGUCUAAACCAGGACUAAACCAAAACUAAACCAAAACUAAACCAGGACUAAACCAGGACUAAACCACUGGUCAAAAAUAGGGACAUUUGGGACAUUUCUUAAAUAAAACUGGGACAAAUCAGUGGUUUUGUACAAAUCCGCUGGGGCGGGGGACACAGGGCUCAAAACGGGGACUGUCCCGGUCGAUGGGGACGUCUGGUCACAUGAAGAAUAACAUUUUGUUUUUCACAUUUGGACGUUCUCUCUAAUAUUAUCUCUAAGUUUAGCUCCACUUUCCCUCGACCUGUCGCAGUUUUUCUAAAGUGGAUUUAAACUUCUCGACGCGGGACAGAGUCACAUGACAUACAACAACAAACCAAUCUGACGACACGCUACGCUAAUGCUAUGCUAAUGCUAUGCUAACAAACGCUCAUAUGUGACUUUCUAUAGCACUGUGCAUCCUGGCCUUUCUAUUUCUGGAUAUUUUAAAAUAGUUUUUGGCAGCGGUGAAAAGUACUCAAGUAAGUCGUAAAGUACUGUACUGGUAGAACUGUUAGGUAUCUGUACUUUUUACUUUUACUUCACGACAUUUCACAUAUUUUUACAAUGUUUUAUCAAGUUUCAGGUUCGAGCAAACAAAAUAAUCCACAAAAAUCAUAAUAAAUGGAUUCAUAUUGUUCCUUUUGGCCAAAAUAUGUGUCAUUUUUCAAC